UACGUAGGGUGCGAGCGUUGUCCGGAAUUAUUGGGCGUAAAGGGCUCGUAGGCGGUUUGUCGCGUCGGGAGUGAAAUCCACUGGCUUAACUGGUGGCUUGCUUUCGAUACGGGCAGACUGGAGGUAUGCAGGGGAGAACGGAAUUCCUGGUGUAGCGGUGAAAUGCGCAGAUAUCAGGAGGAACACCGGUGGCGAAGGCGGUUCUCUGGGCGAUGUCCUGACGCUGAGGAGCGAAAGUGUGGGGAGCGAACAGG
rnacentral:rRNA from 1 species